rnacentral:rRNA from 1 species
AACGAACGCUGGCGGCAGGCUUAACACAUGCAAGUCGAGCGCCCCGCAAGGGGAGCGGCAGACGGGUGAGUAACGCGUGGGAAUCUACCCAUCUCUACGGAAUAACGCAUGGAAACGUGUGCUAAUACCGUAUACGUACUUCGGGAGAAAGAUUUAUCGGAGAUGGAUGAGCCCGCGUUGGAUUAGCUAGUUGGUGGGGUAAAGGCCUACCAAGGCGACGCUCCAUAGCUGGCCUGAGAGGAUGAUCAGCCACACUGGGACUGAGACACGGCCCAGACUCCUACGGGAGGCAGCAGUGGGGAAUAUUGGACAAUGGGCGCAAGCCUGAUCCAGCCAUGCCGCGUGAGUGAUGAAGGCCCUAGGGUUGUAAAGCUCUUUCACCGGUGAAGAUAAUGACGGUAACCGGAGAAGAAGCCCCGGCUAACUUCGUGCCAGCCGCCGCAGUAACAC